rnacentral:rRNA from 1 species
GACAGAGGGGGCAAGCGUUGCUCGGAAUCACUGGGCGUAAAGGGCGCGUAGGCGGGAUGGCAAGUCGGUCGUGAAAUCUCUCGGCUCAACCGAGAAACGUCGGCCGAUACUGCCGUUCUUGAGGGAUGCAGAGGAGACUGGAAUUCCCGGUGUAGCGGUGAAAUGUGUAGAGAUCGGGAGGAACACCGGUGGCGAAGGCGGGUCUCUGGGCAUUUCCGUGACGCUGAGGCGCGAAGGCCAGGGAGCAAACGGG